rnacentral:rRNA from 1 species
ACGGCCAUACCACAUUGAAAACACCGUUUCUCGUCCGAUCACUAAAGUUAAGCAAUGUCGGGCCCGGUUAGUACUUGGGAGGGUGACCACCUGGGAACACCGGGUGCUGUAGGCU